rnacentral:rRNA from 1 species
GAUGAACGCUGGCGGCAUGCCUAACACAUGCAAGUCGAGCGAAUGGACGGAAAUCUUGCUUCGCUUCUGUUAGCGGCGGGCGGGUGAGUAACACGAGGCUAACCGACCUAUAAGAAUGACAUCACUUAGGGAACCCUAAUACAACAUAGGUCAAGAUUUUGAACGGCAUGGUUCAAAAGAGAACGACGUUCUUGCUGACACUUGUAGGUGGAACCUGGUUGCAUUAGCUAGUUGGUAAGGUAACGGCUUACCAAGGCAACGAUGCAUAGCUGACCUGAGAGGGUGAUCAGCCACACUGGAACUGAGACACGGUCCAGACUCCUACGGGAGGCAGCAGUAGGGAAUCUUCCGCAAUGGGCGAAAGCCUGACGGAGCAACGCCGCGUGAGUGAUGAAGGUCUUCGGAUCGUAAAACUCUGUUAGUAGGGAAGAACAGAUGUGUAAGUAACUGUUCACAUCUUGACGUUACCUACUCAGAAAGCCACGGCUAACUACGUG